rnacentral:rRNA from 1 species
UUCCGGUUGAUCCCGCCGGAGGCUACUGCUAUUGGAAUUCGACUAAGCCAUGCGAGUCAAGGUGUCUUCGGACGCCGGCAUACGGCUCAGUAACACGUAGGUAACCUACCCUCAGGACUGAGAUAACCCCGGGAAACUGGGGCUAAUAUUAGAUAGAUAAAAGAUACUGGAAUGUUCUUUUAUCCAAAGCUUNUGCGCCUGAGGAUGGGCCUGCGCCCGAUUAGGUUGUUGGUGGGGUAAUGGCCCACCAAGCCUACGAUCGGUACGGGCAGUGGGAGCUGAAGCCCGGAGUUGGGGACUGAGACAAGGCCCCAGGCCCUACGGGGCGCAGCAGGCGCGAAACCUCUGCAAUGCGGGAAACCGUGACAGGGGGAUUCCAAGUGCUCAUGCAUUGCAUGGGCUGUUCUUUGGUCUAAGUAACCAGAGGAGUAAGGGCUGGGCAAGACCGGUGCCAGCCGCCGCGGUAAUACCGGCAGCUCAAGUGGUAGCCGCGAUUAUUGGGCCUAAAACGUUCGUAGCCGGAUAAGUAAGUCUUUGGUUAAAUCCUGCGACUUAACCGUGGGAAAUCUAGAGAUACUGCUUGUCUUGAGACCGGGAGAGGUUGGAGGUACUCCCAGGGUAGGGGUGAAAUCCUGUAAUCCUGGGGGGACCACCUGUGGCGAAGGCGUCCAACUGGAACGGGUCUGACGGUGAGGGACGAAACCUAGGGGAGCGAGCCGGAUUAGAUACCCGGGUAGUCCUAGGCGUAAAUGAUGCGAGUUAAGUGUGGGGGCAUCCACGAGAUGGCCCUGUGCUGUAGGGUAGCCGUUAAACUCGCUGCCUGGGGAGUACGGUCGCAAGGCUGAAACUUAAAGGAAUUGGCGGGGGAGCACCACAAGAGGUGGAGGCUGCGGUUCAAUUGGAUUCAACGCCGGG